AACCCCCUGAAAUCUUUCUCGACUUUGCGGGUACGGUUAGAUAUCAGGGGGUCAAAAGCAGGCGGCGUGCCUGCGAAGGAUUAUAGCAAAUGCAUUUCUCAAUACAAGACCUCUGCCCCGCAAU
rfam:Pantoea stewartii subsp. stewartii DC283 WGS_Sequence24, whole genome shotgun sequence.